AAAUUGAAGAGUUUGAUCAUGGCUCAGAUUGAACGCUGGCGGCAGGCCUAACACAUGCAAGUCGAGCGGAAACGAGUUAUCUGAACCUUCGGGGAAGGAUAACGGCGUCGAGCGGCGGACGGGUGAGUAAUGCCUAGGAAAUUGCCCUGAUGUGGGGGGAUAACCAUUGGAAACGAUGGCUAAUACCGCAUGAUGCCUACGGGCCAAAGAGGGGGACCUUCGGGC
rnacentral:rRNA from 1 species